rnacentral:rRNA from 1 species
GUAGUCAUAUGCUUGUCUCAAAGAUUAAGCCAUGCAUGUCUAAGUAUAAGCAACUUGUACAGUGAAACUGCGAAUGGCUCAUUAAAUCAGUUAUCGUUUAUUUGAUAAUCCCUUACUACAUGGAUACCUGUGGUAAUUCUAGAGCUAAUACAUGCUUCAAGGAGUGGCUUUCGUCACUCUGCACUUAUUAGAUAAAAAACCAAUGCCCCUUUGGGGCUCCUUGGUGAUUCAUAAUAAUUUAGCGGACCGCAUUCCCUCGAGGAGGCGGUGGAUCAUUCAAAUUUCUGCCCUAUCAACUUUCGAUGGUAGGAUAGUGGCCUACCAUGGUUUCAACGGGUAACGGGGAAU